GAACUGGGUGGCCAGGACAGCUGUUUCUGAGCUCUGAGAAGUUAAACAUGGCCAAGGAUUCAUGGUGUGCAGCUUUGGAAAUCUAGUCAGAGGCUCCCAUUGACAGCCUCUGGGAAGCUGUUUGGAUAAACUGCUCUGGGUCACGCAUUGGUUUCCCACAUCUGCUCCCCCAGUGACGUCCCAGUGCUAAUUUCUGGUGAAGGAGGGAAAAGACCGCCUGUGCCCAGAAUGUCACUCUUCAGAAGAUCACUGAUGAUUUCUACAAUACUUUUGCAGAACAAUUAACCCUCUACUUACUGGUGACUUAGUGAGAGUUUGUGUAUUUGGAUCCCUGAAUUUUUCUGGGUAAGUCAGCCUUUAAUUUA
rnacentral:lncRNA from 1 species